rnacentral:lncRNA from 1 species
CUCUAGAACCUUCCCCCUCCCCUUCUCCCCGAUGUGUCCUCUUCAUCUUCUUCGGCCACCUUCAGACCUAAAUCUAUGGUGGUUUCUCCUCCCACCAAGCCACCUAUGGCUCCCUCACGUUUGGUUAACUGAAGCUUCAUGACUCGACCACGAAGAGUUAGGUCUAGACCUCUGUUGAUUCAAGAUUUAAGGUCAUUUCCGGCCUGCUCUGGCAAGCCAUGCCUACUUCGAGCCUUGUUUUGAACCCUCCUGCUUAGAUCCAAGCCUUUCUCACCGUUUGGGUUUCUCUAAAAAACCUAGCCUUGAGGUUCUUCUGAUCUCUUUAUAUUUGUUCUAGAUCUAUGCUUUCCCUAAGUUUCUAUGCGAUUUUCUGCAUUUUUCUUUCAAAAAACUACUUUCAAAACCAUUUCUUUUUCAUAUCUAGGGUUCUUCUGAGAUAUUUUGAUGUUUCUCUGAUUUUCUCUUUCUUUUGUUUGUUU